ensembl:lncRNA
AGUCGCUCAGUCGUGUCUGACUCCUAGCAACCCCAUGGACUGCAGCCUACCAGGCUCCUCUGUCCGUGGGAUUUUCCAGGUGCUUCCCAGGUGGCUCAGUGGUAAAGAAUCCGCCUGCCAACACAGGACUCCCAGGAGACAAGUGUCCGAUCCCUGGGUUGCCCUGCAGAGCGGAGGUGCUGGCGCUGCCAUUCCCCACUAGGAACUCUGGUCUGAAACCUCGAGUGCGAGGCCUUUGCAGGUGACGUCCUGUGAGCAAGUAAAACUACGCCAAGGACACUAACUGCACAAAGGAAAAAGAAAGGAUUUCAGACACCCAGCCCCUCGUUGAGUUUGGAGGCUUACCCAAGAACGCAUAUUCUCUUCAUAAGCACACUGACCCUGUGUUACUUGCUUGAAUCCUUGAAGAAUCAGAGCUCUAGUUUUUCAUCCAUAUCACUCUCCCUGGGAAAGUCACCCACCACGUCAUGAGGAUGCUCAAGCAGCCCUGUGGAGAGGUGCACUUGCUGGGGAACCAACUCAUCAACCAUGUGAAUGAGCCAUCUUGGAAGUGGCUCCUCCAGCUCCAGCAAGCCUUAAGAUAAACCGAACUAUACUCCCAGCACCAACAUCUUCACUAGAACUUCCUUAGAGACACUAAACUGGAACCACUGCGAUAAUAGUAUUGACUUCAUGAGUUAAUAAAGAGCUGCUCUUGAAUUCCUGACC